CUCCAGAUGUUGCUGAACUACAACUCCCAUGAUUCUCAGCCUAUCUAUUUCAGUCAUAGAAUCAUGGGAGUUGUAGUUCAGCAACAUCUGGAG
rnacentral:miRNA from 1 species